rnacentral:lncRNA from 1 species
CCACUUGUAUGGUUUAGGCAUGGCACAUGAGUUGUAAAUUGUAUUUCCCUUUCAUGCCUUCAUGUUGUAUUGUGUAGAUCCCCCCAUUGUGGGUCAAAUGUCUCCCACCCCCUAGUCAUGUAAUAACUUAGAUUUAUUGCUUUCUAGCUAGCUUACUAUACAUGUUAAUAACCAAGAUAAAAUACAAAACUAUAAACAAAGCAUUUCAAAAAAAACAAAAGGUACUUGAUUCAACGUCAAGUUAUUUUUCCGAAUAAAACCCAC